rnacentral:ncRNA from 1 species
AGCACUUAUUUGUUGAGGAGAAACUGAUCCAAUUCGGAGUCCCGCAACGAGCGCAACCCUCGUGUUUAGUUGCCAUCGUUGAGUUUGGAACCCUGAACAGACUGCCGGUGAUAAGCCGGAGGAAGGUGAGGAUGA